UGUUACGGUGAUUGGCAAGUGCUACCGAGUACUACCCAGCACUACCGCCGCGAUUAAUUAUGUCCGUCCGAUCAGAGAAUUUAAUUAUGCAUUUUAAAUUAGCAUUCCAGGGGUAUUAUGGUAAAUGCGUAGGCAACCGUCCCACCUCGCACGACCGAAUCCAGAGCUCCCGGAUCAGAAUCCCCACCACUCCCCAACCUCUCUGCCUCACGACGGCGACAAAUCCUGGCCGCCACCGAACCCCUACGGCGAUGGCGCAGGAUCUAGCCCAUCCCCUCUGUAGUCCCUUCCCUCUGUAGCUCUCCUCUCCCUGCGCGCGGCCCCUUGGACGCCGGCGGCGGCGGCUGCGCUCCGAUCUUCCGCGUCAAACGGAGCCGGCGCUGUAUCCGCAGAGCUGCUCCGAUAGCACCUACACCUACACCAGUACCGCUCAACUUCUGGUAUGAUUAAUGCCGUUGAUUCUAAUUGUCGUGAAAAAUUGGUCGCCUAUAUUUUACUCCUCUGUAGUACCCGUGCUUGAAUUUGUUUAAGGCUCGUAUACAUUAGUGUACCCGUGUUCAUCUGUAGUACUGGAGACUUAAACAAAUUAUUAAUAAUAUCCGUAUGUUGAAUAUCCUUGGAGAGGUGGAGUAUCGCCUGCUGGAGUCUGUAUAUGAGUAUACACUAGAUCAGAAGGACCACCGAAUCUAACGGAUCUUUUGAGUAGUCUACUUAAAGCUCCAUUGCUAAAUAUGGCUAGUUGCACGUGAGAUAACUGAACCAAAUUUUUGGCGUGCGAUAUUGCUUCACUGUAUCUGGCAGCACUCUACUUUUUCUUGCCAAAUCUUGACAAACCUUCAGAGUGCGGUGUCAUCAGUCUUUUGAUGCAAGCUCAUAGGAAGGAAUCAUCCAGUGGUCACAAGGAAUGCAUGAGGUAUGGUCCGGUGCUGCCACAAACGGUGGAACUUGAUUCUGGAGAAUUGGAAAAGGUUCUAGAUCCUAUGCAUGAGGUGCACCGAAGAAAAGGCUGAAGCCAAAGAAGCAUAAAAGAUCUAACACAAAAUACUGCUAUUACAAGGUGGAGGGUCACAAUCAGCAUAAAUGCGCCAAGUGGAUAGAGGACAAUAAGCUGACAGAACCUUAUUAACUACAGCUCUCUUAACAUUUGUGAAGUAAUCAUCCAGGAUUAUACAAAAACGUUUAAUACAUAUGUGAAGGAAUAGAUGAGUUCCUGUUGGCUGUAUCCAUUGCCAGCUGAAGCAAACGGCUGUGGACGAAUGGCUGUGUUGGUGCUACAGCUGCGGGCUACUCUGCUGCUAUCCUGGAGUACCUGACUGCUGAAGUUCUGGAGCUGGCUGGGAACGCGAGCAAGGAUCUGAAGGUGUUGCGUAUCACCCAUCACCAUCUUCAGCUGGCCAUCCAUGGAGAUGAAGAGCUGGAUACCCUCAUCAAGGGUACCAUUGCUAGUGGGGGUGUGAUCCCGCACAUCCACAUGCCCCUGAUCAAAGUUACCCGUCCAGUUAUCUUGAAGUAGCACAGGACAUUUUUGCAACCGUGUGUGAGACUUCAUAUCUUUUAGCCUUUAGCUAUGCUUCCAGAUCGAAGUGAUCCCUCUGUGUACUGCUUCCUGGUACUGCUUGAGUUAUUUGGAACAUUGUAUUCGUGUUAAUUUGUUCACUUCGUGGUAGAUCCUGAAUGCAAAACCUUUUUUA